UACGUAGGGGGCGAGCGUUGUCCGGAUUUAUUGGGCGUAAAGAGCUCGUAGGCGGCUUAGCAAGUCGGGUGUGAAAACUCCAGGCUCAACCUGGAGACGCCACUCGAGACUGCCAUGGCUAGAGUCCGGUAGGGGACCACGGAAUUCCUGGUGUAGCGGUGAAAUGCGCAGAUAUCAGGAGGAACACCGGUGGCGAAGGCGGUGGUCUGGGCCGGCACUGACGCUGAGGAGCGAAAGCGUGGGGAGCAAACAGG
rnacentral:rRNA from 1 species